rnacentral:rRNA from 1 species
AGUGAACGCUGGCGGUAGGCCUAACACAUGCAAGUCGAACGGCAGCACAGUAAGAGCUUGCUCUUACGGGUGGCGAGUGGCGGACGGGUGAGGAGUACAUCGGAAUCUACUUUUUCGUGGGGGAUAACGUAGGGAAACUUACGCUAAUACCGCAUACGACCUACGGGUGAAAGCAGGGGAUCUUCGGACCUUGCGCGAUUGAAUGAGCCGAUGUGGGAUUAGCUGGUUGGCGGGGUAAAGGCCCACCAAGUCGACGAUCCGUAGCUGGUCUGAGAGGAUGGUCAGCCACACUGGAACUGAGACACGCACAAGACUCCUACGGGAGGCAGCAGUGGGGAAUAUUGGACAACGGGCGCAAGCCUGAUCCAGCCAUACCGAGUGGGUGAAGGAGGCCUUCGGGUUGUAAAGCCCUUUUGUUGGGAAAGAAAAGCAGCAGGUUAAUACCCCGCUGUUCUGACGGUACCCAAAGAAUAAGCACCGGCUAACUACGUG